GACGAACGCUGGCGGCGUGCUUAACACAUGCAAGUCGAACGGGCCCGCCCCUGUUUUUGGGGGUGGGUUGAGUGGCGAACGGGUGAGUAUCACGUGAGUAACCUGCCCCCUGCUCCUGGAUAACUGCUUGAAAGGGCGGCUAAUACGGGGUGUGCCGGCUGGUCCGCAUGGGCCUGGUCGGGAUAGUUUCAUCUUCGGGUGUUUCGGUGGGGGAUGGGCUCGCGGCCUAUCAGCUUGUUGGUGGGGUGAUGGCCCACCAAGGCGGUGACGGGUAGCCGGCCUGAGAGGGUGGGCGGCCACACUGGGACUGAGACACGGCCCAGACUCCUGCGGGAGGCAGCAGUGGGGGGUAUUGCACAAUGGGCGGAAGCCUGAUGCAGCGACGUCGCGUGAGGGAUGGAGGCCUUCGGGUUGUGAACCUCUUUCUCCGGUGGGGAAGGCCCUGUCCGUUGCGGCGGGGUUGACGGUAGCCGGGGAUGAAGCGCCGGCUAACUACGUG
rnacentral:rRNA from 1 species